UAAAAAACCAAUGCCCUUCGGGGCUCCUUGGUGAAUCAUAAUAACUUAACGAAUCGCAUGGCCUUGCGCCGGCGAUGGUUCAUUCAAAUUUCUGCCCUAUCAACUUUCGAUGGUAGGAUAGUGGCCUACCAUGGUGGCAACGGGUAACGGGGAAUUAGGGUUCGAUUCCGGAGAGGGAGCCUGAGAAACGGCUACCACAUCCAAGGAAGGCAGCAGGCGCGCAAAUUACCCAAUCCCGACACGGGGAGGUAGUGACAAUAAAUACUGAUACGGGGCUCUUUUGGGUCUCGUAAUUGGAAUGAGUACAAUCUAAAUCCCUUAACGAGGAACAAUUGGAGGGCAAGUCUGGUGCCAGCAGCCGCGGUAAUUCCAGCUCCAAUAGCGUAUAUUAAAGUUGUUGCAGUUAAAAAGCUCGUAGUUGAACCUUGGGUCUGGCUGGCCGGUCCGCCUCACCGCGAGUACUGGUCCGGCUGGACCUUUCCUUCUGGGGAACCUCAUGGCCUUCACUGGCUGUGGGGGGAACCAGGACUUUUACUGUGAAAAAAUUAGAGUGUUCAAAGCAGGCCUUUGCUCGAAUACAUUAGCAUGGAAUAAUAGAAUAGGACGUGCGGUUCUAUUUUGUUGGUUUCUAGGACCGCCGUAAUGAUUAAUAGGGAUAGUCGGGGGCGUCAGUAUUCAGCUGUCAGAGGUGAAAUUCUUGGAUUUGCUGAAGACUAACUACUGCGAAAGCAUUCGCCAAGGAUGUUUUCAUUAAUCAGGGAACGA
rnacentral:rRNA from 1 species